UUUCAAAGAUAAAAAAAAAUUAGUCAUUUCUGCAGCUAAAGUAUCCUAUUCCUUUGACUAUUGAAAACACAGUAACUAGUGCACUGACUCAAUGACAAAUGCCAGUUUCAUAAUUAGGGUGGAGCACACAAGCAACUAUAAAGGUUACCCCAAUCUGAAACUCUCACUUCUGCCGAAUACAUUUGAAAGCUCCAGAUUCUGAGUGAGUUAUUCUUCAAGACAACAUCUGAGAAACAUGGAACAUUUACUCAAUGAAAAUCUUCUGAAGUAUUUUACCCAGUAUGCUUUAAUGGAGGGCAGCACCAGUGCACUGUCCAUUGGGGGGUUGAAAAACCUACUUCAGAAUCAAUUUGCACAGUACCUGAAGGAUCAAUUCUCACUUGAUAACAUAAUUAAAUCGUUGGACAAAAAUAAUGAUGGAAGUGUCAGCUUUGAUGAGUUUGUGAUGCUUAUAAAAAGGAUAACUAAUAGAGGACAGUAAGGCAUCUGCAAGAACAAAUAUCACUGCACUGAAGAAGAGCCUGGCAUUUGUUUAUGUUAUUCAUACAUCUAAACCCACAGAUUUGUUAUUAUUUUAAAACAUAUGGAAUAAAGAUUUAACAGAUAACGAA